CCCCCCCGCUUCUCUCUCCUCCCUGUCAUCUCUCUCUCUCUUCUUCACAAAUGGGAAAACCCCAGAACCCCUAUCACUCUCAUAGUCCCUGCAUGGCUGAUUCGGGAAAAUGAAUUAAUGCUCGAUCAGUUUUCAACGUUGGAAGUUUGUCUCUUUUCCUCUCUCUGUUCGUUCAAUCUGAAGAGUUUUAAUUGAAUUUCGUCGACUUGCGAGGUAAAAAUUGUUUCUUUAUCAGCUGCUCUCCAUCUUUCGAGUACGAAAUUUUAAUUGUGGCUGUCUUCUUCUUCUGGGUUUUCUGAUCGUCGACAGAACUCCAGCGUUAUUUUGAACGCAUUUUGACUAAGAAAUCCCGCCCAAGAUUUCAAAAUCCCAGCCCAAACCCUAAUCUAAACCCUAUAAAUAGUCGUUAGUUGAGUAGUUAAAAGGGGGGGUUUUCGGGGGAGGAGCUGCCACCUUUGUUCGAAAAAAAAAAUUCCUUGCUUUUCUCUUCCAUUGUUCGGAAUCUGCUGUUUACUUUUGUUUUCCGCAUACAAGGCAUACUCGAGUUCGAGCCUAGGUCUGAAACCCCCCGCACCCCACUUCGCUGCACCCUAAGCAGGUGAUUCCCCUUUCCCUUUCGUGCCUUUUUAUUUUAAGUUGUUUGUUCUGUGUUAGUUCGUUUACUGCCGCCAGGGAUUUGUGAAUUCAGUUUGAGUAUCUGUAUACGUGUUAGGACAGUUGAGUUCUGUGUAUGAAUCAUAUUCGUUCAGUUUGACUUAGUUAAAAGGAAUGAGAUUAUGUGAAAUGAUUUACCUGGUUAUUAAACGUGUUAAUCAGCUCAAUAAUAUUCUUAUGCAGGAUGAUUAAGCUUUCCUGAUAUGUUAAAUUAGUUCAACAUGGUCUAAGCCCUGCUAUUUAAAUCUUAAAUAGGUUGAUCUUAUUUUGCUAAGUGUGUUUGAAUGUCUUGGUUCUUAUUCAUCGCUGGUUGUUUAUAUGGUUAGCCGCGACUAGUUGCUAUGUCAGUGUAGGUUCCUUUGUUUCAUUCAUUGAAAAACCAUAGCAUGUUUAGCUUGAUUUGUUUUAAUAAAAUGACAAAACUUACUUUGAUUUGGUUGCUGAAACUGUAGUCGUAGUCGAAGGAGAAAAGACCCUGCUGUUUUGCCUAGUGUUUGAAUUGCCUAGUCUGCUUAAAUUAGUUUAAUUCAAUGAAGCCUCGUACGAGGAGUUAUUUUACAGUUAAGCAUGAUUGCGUGUUCGUUUGGUUUAAACCUCCUGUAACUGUCUUUUAGCUUAAGCCAAUAUGAACAAAUUCUUACUUAUAAGUAAUCUUAUCCCUCACCUUCUCUCCUCUGAAUUUUAAGUACACAAGCUGGAAUUUGGACUCGUACAGCUCCUUCCCCAUUUCCAACUUAUAUGAGCAAACUGCCCUUUUUGAUAAACAAUUCUUCCUUUCCCAAAUAAUCAGUCACUUAAACCAGUGUACUUUUCUUUCUUAACUGGGAUAUCGUUUGCCUUAUUUUCCCUCCACUCAUUUACUUUCCUUUGAGUUAAUAAGGGUCUGUCCUGAUCAUGUAUUUGUUAGCUAAGUAUAAUAUUCAGCAUUAACAAGAAUCUAUUUUAGUAAGAGACUACAAUGAAUUGGCUUUGUUUGUUCACAUGCCCUUCGUCUCCUUCAUUUUUUGCUGGAAUGAUUCAAACAGUCAGCUGCUAUUUAUGAAGACGUUGUUGAAAUUCCAUGUAUUUGUUUCUCUUGUUGACUGUUGAUUCAUGCAUAUAGGAAUUUGUUCCAUUCUGAUCUAAAAUACUAAGCAUAUACAAUGAUUGCUUUUAAUAGAAUGACUAAUUUACUUAAUUGAUUUCGAAAGUAACUAGUUCACCCCCGUGAUUGGCAUACCUGCCGAUCUGUCUGCUUCCCCUGUAUUCUCGAAUGAGGCACUCUAUUGAUUAAAAUCAUAACUGAACAUAACUGGGUCUGAAAUCUGCUUUUUAAAAUUGAAAAAGACUUCUGAUAUCUGGUCAUGGUUAUUAGUGUUUUGCCCUGCUAGUAUAAAGAAUGUGGAAUUGAGUCUAUAUCUGAAUAUGCAUGAGGUUUACCCAAAUAUGUUUAUGAUGUACGGUUCUGAUGUACUCGUGGCAUUUAAUAGCUUGUGGCAUUUAACAGCUUGUAUAUUCAAGUAUAUGAGAAGCAUACUGCUGACAGAAUGUCCCAUGAAUAGUUUUGAACUCUCUGUUAAAUGUGACAUGAUAGGCAGAGUCAUUUGUAAAGUGUACAUGGCGGUUUGUUUGAUUGUAAGCUGAGCGUGCAGGGGAUGUAUCAAAAUAUACCAAGUAUAUUCAGAGCUCUAUAUGCCACGCAUAUAUACAAGCUUGCAUAUUUAGUGUAUAUGAAGUGCAUCCCUUAUCAUAGCAAAUCUGUGGCCAGUUUCUCCGUCGUUUUGGCUGAAUGUUUCAUUUGCACAUGAAUAUUUGUCUUUAAAUUUUUCAUGUAUGAUGAUCAUAUACUAAUCCUUUUCCUUUCAUUUUUGCAUGACCACCGCAUACGAGUCCAAGGGACUCGUCUCCCUCCACAUUCGGUGUUGGGCUAAAAGCCCAACAAAAUCUUCUCUCGGUCCAUCCCUGUCCACAGCAAAAAUGGAAAACAUAAAUGCUGGGCCAAAACCCAAUAGGCCGGAACAGUGCGCGGCAGUUUUAAAAAAUGAGCUGAGCUCAUUCUCCCCAACAGCAAAUAGAUCCAGCGGUCCUAAAGUGGGCUGAGCCCAUUUUAAUACCAUUUGCUCCCUUUAUUUCAUUUUAUGCAUUUGAUUCGUAUUUGUGCAACUAACCUUUUACUUGUUUGUUUCCUUAGCUAAAUGAACCUUAGUAGAUUAGUAUAGAAUUUAGUUUUAGUUACAGGGUAGUUAAUUUAAGAAAGACCAGUUAAUUCCAUAGGCUUCUAAAUUACUUACAUUGUCUAUAAUAUUUAUUUUAAAAACUAUUUACACCAUUUAUAAUACUUACUAUUACUAGAAUCGUUAAAUGCCAAUAAUGAGAACAUGUGCCUUGAACUAGAGAAUUGCUUUUCCAUUCCUUUAUCACCUUAGAGAUUUAACGUACCAUAGGCAUGGAAUAUAUGAGUUUAGGUAUUGUAAGUUGAUUUAAUUACACAUCAUCUUAAUUAAGCAUAGUUAACAAAAGAUAAGGAAAGGGAUAAAGAAAACUCAUUAGCCAUUUUGUAUUUCAUUUAUACUUCUAAAACGCAAAAUCGAUUAAUACUUCAUCGUUUAGUUUGCUUCAAAUAUUUAUUAAAAUAUUUCACAAACCCGCAUUUUCUUCUACUUAUAUGCAAAUUAUCAUAUUUUGUCAAUUUUAUUAUUAUACUUUCAUUUAAGACAUUAGCAACGUUUAUAAGCUUUAUUUUAAACUAGCAUUUUAAAAUCUCUUUUAUACGAAUCAUUAGUCUUAUUUUAAAAUGGCAUUAUUAUAUUUUCAUUUAAAGUCUUCUUUUAUAAGUCUUGUUUUAAAUAACAUUUUUUAUUUAAAGCCUUAGCAUAUCUUUAAGUCUCAUUUUAAAUAGUGUUAUUUUCGUUUAAAACUUUAGCAAUAGUUGUAAGCCAUUUUCUAAAAUUUAAACAUUAUAUUUAACCUCAAUUAAUUAACCUAAGUUUGGCCGGUAAACCGUAGUUAACGGAUCCUAGACGAUGCCUAACCCCUUCCCUUUAGGAUAACUAGAACCCUUACCUAGAACUGAAAAUUAAGCAGACCAUUAACAGAGGUUUAGUUUAGGCUUUACCUUAGUUAAUAAAUUAGGUGUCCUAAUUCACCGUUAAACUAAUUAGGUGGCGACUCCUUAAAAAUAAGCAAAUGGGAAUCACCAAAAUGUUGUACUCUAAUUUAACCCGUUUAAAUGGGGUGUAACAAGGAGUCUAUUCAAAAAUCAUUUAGUGACCUGCAUAAGUAUGCAGAGGUCUUUGACGGAUAAAAGGUGGGCGGAUCAACUUCAUCAACAUUUGCAUGCCGCUGGGAAUUUGUUGAACCCAUCAAGCUUUUAUGAUAACAAUGAGAUGCGAUUAAUAAAUGCAAAAGUGACGAAGGGAUUCUAUAGGAGUGUUGCUAAGUUGGUUCCCGAUGAAGAAGGGCAACAUGAAAUAGGGUUACAACUAAGUGCUUAUACUAAUUCUAAAGGGACCUUUGGAUUUGCAAUGGUUAUAAGACAAAGAAAGAAGAAGUCUCCAGUUGAAUAGUGGAGGCUUUAUGGUGGAGACACUCCGGAAUUACAAAAGUUUGCUAUCAAAGUUCUAGGUCUAACUUGUAGCUCAUCCGGAUGUAAGAGAAAUUGGAGCGUCUUUGAACAUAUUCAUAGUAAGAAGAGGAAUAGACUAACCCUAAAGCGCCUCAAUGACCUAGUGUUCAUAAAAUACAAUAGAACAUUGAGGCGUCGUUACAAUGCUCGCAAUGUAAUUAAUCCAAUUGCUUUGGACAAUAUUGAUGAUGCAAAUGAAUGGCUCACCGGAGUUGAGUAUCCUGAAGAUGAAGCAAUUUUUUAGGGAGAUUCUGAUUUCACUUUCGGUGUUGUUGCCGAGGCAAUAGGAGUUGAGGAGAACCACUAUGGUUUAAGGGGGAAUACUUCAAGCCAACAUAGGAGGGGAAAAGAAGUAGCUACAAGUAAUUCCCUAGUUGAUGAAGUUGAAGAAGAUGACGAGCAAUGUGAUGAUGAUGCAGGAGUACAAGAUUUUGACAAUUUUGUAGAAGAAUAAGAAUUAGAUGUUGAACUAUUAAUAUCUUUGAUUUUGUUUGUCCUAGGGUCUGGAGGAUUUUGUGAUAUCUACUUUAAUUUUUUAAUUGAACUUUUGGUCUAUGGAGGGUUUUGUGAUAUCUACAUUAGUUUUUAAUUUGAACUUUUACUUAUAUA